GUCCACGCCGUAAACGAUGAGUGCUAGGUGUUGUGGGUAUUGACCCCUGCAGUGCCAAAGCUAACGCGUUAAGCACUCCGCCUGGGGAGUACGGUCGCAAGAUUAAAACUCAAACGGAAUUGACGGGGGCACGCACAAGCGGUGGAGCAUGUGGUUUAAUUCGACGCAACGCGCAGAACCUUACCUGGGUUUGAACUGCAGCGGACAGAUACAGAAAUGUAUUCUCCCUUCGGGGUCGCUGUGGAGGUGCUGCAUGGCUGUCGU
rnacentral:rRNA from 1 species